ACCCUUGGUAGUAAAGUGCGACUACAGCUACAGGAAACUAGGAUGGGUCAGCAAAGACGCCCCGCUGGAAAAAAAUGUCCACAAGCCCCAAAAAAACUCGACCUGAAAACGGAUCAUAACGAAGCCAACUUUGUUUGACAUAUAUCAUGUGUACAAAGAAAGUUUUACCCACACAUGACUCACUGAGUGUUUAGCAUUUCAAGUAUUACAUAACCAAAACCUGUUGUCGCGUGUAUUUCCCUUCCGGACGCCUCACUCGUUUCAACCGAGCAACCCCGGCUGUCCCCGUAACCCUCUAGCGGCACUGCCUGCACUGAUGCCCGGCGUGCAGCGUUAGGAGACUCCGCAGAGCAACCAUGUUUCUCGGUACCCGGCCACGGUUGUGAAAACCCCACGUUACUCGGUGGAUAUCGCUGCAGAAGACCAAGCAGCAGGACGGGUCCAGGCAGACAAGCAUGCAUUUUGCCUGCUGCUCUGAAGACGGGGGAAGAAGAGCUUGCAGAAGCUGGACAGCAGAUCGGACAGCUUUGGGUUGAGGAGACGAAUCAGAGCUUUGACGAACAUGAGAAUGAAUUUGUUGGAGACUGAAGUUUUGGUAUCAUGAUGUGGAAGUUUUGUAAAGAAUUGGCUGUAAAGUACAACAAUAUUCAUGCAAAUAAAUAGCUACAAAAUGA